UUUCUGAAACCCAAAUAGUAUUCAUGGGUUCUGUUCUUUCAUGGGUCAGAGUUAAGGAAAAAACCCGAGGAAAGAAAAUAAUUAUAAAAGAGAAAAUUAAACAAGAGAAGCAAUGAAGCAGCUUCAUCUCUACAGUCUAGAUCAUAAGCCUAAUAAAACCUGAACAACGUAAUAAAUUAACAAUGUCCUCAUCUGAGCAUG
rnacentral:misc_RNA from 1 species